rnacentral:rRNA from 1 species
UUGCCGAGUAGCUAUGUGUGGAAGAGAUAACCGCUGAAAGCAUCUAAGCGGGAAACUCGUUUCAAGAUGAGAUCUGCCGGGGCCUUGAGCCCCCUAAAGAGUCGUUCAAGACCAGGACGUUGAUAGGCAGGGUGUGGAAGCGUAGUAAUGCGUUAAGCUAACCUGUACUAAUUGCUCGUGCGGCUUGACCCU